GUAUAAUUAGUUUGUUAGCAUGCUAAAAUAGCAUUAUCGAGAUAAUAUCGUUAGCGAAAUAUGGAUGAAGUUUAAUAUAUGGAUGAAAUGAUAUGGGGUACAAACCAACUUAAUAUGUUAAUAAUAUAUUUGACGAUAUAAACAAAUUCUCAGUGAUUGAACCAAUGAUUAGAUUUCAAAGACUGAUAUAUAUGAGAAGACGAUAACAUUAUUAUUAAAAAGUAACAAAAUAUUUAGCAUGAAGAGCAAAAAACUUGACUCGCGACCGAAUAAUCAUGUAAAAAAAUACAUGCAUCAAAAUAGUUAGCAAAUAACAUAUUAUCAAGAUAACAUGAUAACAAAUAUCUCGGUAAUAUUUAUUAGGUUAACAUGA
rnacentral:sRNA from 1 species